AGGACAGCGGCCCUCCAGGACCUGAGUUUGACACCCCUGGUUUAAAUGAACGAACAGUUUGAGCAGACCGCAGGAGACAUCAUCAAGGAUGACGUUAACCAUGAAGAUAAAAAGCCUUAUUGUUACGACAAAAAAAAAAAAAAAAAAAAAA